CAUAUGGGGCAAGCGUUGUUCGGAAUUACUGGGCAUAAAGGGUGCGUAGGUGGUCUGUUAAGUCAGGGGUGAAAUCCCGCGGCCCAACCGUGGAACUGCCUUUGAUACUGGCGGACUUGAGUGCGUGAGGGGUAGGGGAACGAGCAGUGUAGCGGUGAAAUGCGUAGAUAUUGCUCGGAAGGCCAGAGCCGAAGGGGCCCUACUGGUACGUAACUGACACUGAGGCACGAAAGCGUGGGGAGCAAACAGGAUU
rnacentral:rRNA from 1 species